UGCGGUGACGAUGGCAAGAAGGAUACACCUGUAACCAUGCCGAACACAGAAGUUAAGUUUCUUAGCGCCGAGGGUAGUGAAGGGUUUCCCUUUGUGAGAGUAGGACGUUGCCGUGC
rnacentral:rRNA from 1 species